AUAUUCGUGAGCCUGUUGGAAGUGACGGAUUAAGUAAUUUGUUUUCCCUUAUUGGAUUGGGAAGGCCGAGAAUUAGUCCCAGGAAAUAACUCCAACUUAUAGGCCGUACCAAAACCGACACAGGUGAGCUGGUAGAGUAUACCAAGGCGCUUGAGAGAACUAUACUGAAGGAACUAGACAAAUUGCACGCGUAACUUCGGGAUAAGCGUGACCUGCAUAUACGCAAGUACUUGCAGGUGUCACAAAAGAGGGAGUGCCGACUGUUUAUUAAAAACACAGGUCUAUGCAAACACGUAAGUGGAAGUAUAUGGACUGACGCCUGCCCAGUGCUGGAAGAUUAAUCGGAGGGGUGCAAGCCCUGAUGCCAAGUCCCAGUGAACGGCGGCCGUAACGAUAACGGUCCUAAGGUAGCGAAAUUCCUUGUCGGGUAAGUUCCGACGCGCAUGAAUGGCGUAACGAGUUCUCCAUUGUCUCCAGUAUAGACUCAGCGAAGUUGAAUUCUCCGUGAAGAUGCGGAGUUACUACGGUUAGACGGAAAGACCCUGUGCACCUUUACUAUAGCCUUGCAGUGGUAUUAGGAACAAAAUGUGUAGAAUAGGUGGGAGGCUUUGAAGCACCGGCGCUAGCCGGAGUGGAGCCACCAGUGAAAUACCACCCUUUUUGUUUCUGAUAUCUAACCGCGUGGAAUGAAUCUUCCAUCGGGACCCUGCAUGGCGGGUAGUUUGACUGGGGCGGUCGCCUCCCAAAUGAUAACGGAGGCGCGCGAUGGUAGGCUCAAGACGGUCGGAAAUCGUCUGGUGAGUGUAAUGGCACAAGCCUGCCUGACUGCGAGAGUGACAAUUCAAGCAGAAACGAAAGUUGGUCAUAGUGAUCCGGUGGUUCCUCGUGGUAGGGCCAUCGCUCAACGAAUAAAAGGUACGCCGGGGAUAACAGGCUGAUGAUAUCCAAGAGUCCAUAUCGACGAUAUCGUUUGGCACCUCGAUGUCGGCUCAUCACAUCCUGGGGCUGGAGAAGGUCCCAAGGGUAUGGCUGUUCGCCAUUUAAAGUGGUACGUGAGCUGGGUUUAGAACGUCGUGAGACAGUUCGGUCCCUAUCUGCCGUAGUUGUAAGGAAAUUUGAGAGGAUCUGACUUUAGUACGAGAGGACCGAGUUGGACGUAUCUCUGGUGCACCAGUUGUUUUGCCAAAAGCACAGCUGGGUAGCUAUAUACGGAAGGGAUAAAUGCUGAAUGCAUCUAAGCAUGAAACCCACCUCAAAACUAGAUUUCCCCAUUAGGAUCGUGGUAGACUACCACGUUGAUAGGACGCGUGUGGAAGGACCGUGAGGUCUGGAGCUAAGCGUUACUAAUAAUCCGAAG
rnacentral:rRNA from 1 species